UUCAUUAAAUAUUUUGUAGUCAUUUUUAAUCUUGAAAAAAUACUAAAAAAAUAGUUUUGUUUUAAUGGUCGGUCUUAUUUUAACAAUUAUUUUUACUUAAGUAGAGCUAAUUAAUAUUUUUGAUAAUACUUUUAGUUAAUUAAGCUAAUUUUAAACAUAGCUACUCAUAAACGCCCAAGUUCCUAGCCCAUUCCUUAAGCUCAAUAUCCAAUACCCAUUGGAUCAAAUAAAUAAAAAGACCCUAAGGACUUAACACAAAAAGACCUAGGGACUAAUUGACAAAAUACACAAAACAUACACAUUUAGACAUAGACCUAUAUAAUAGGGGUAACACCUAAUCAGCAAAAGGGGGCAAACAAAAAAAUGGUCUUGAUCUUCUGAACAAAAAGAAGAAACGGGCAGAGUUAGGAGGAGGCGAGCAAGAAAAUUGGGAUCUGAGAAAAAGAGGAAAAUCCCAACACCUCUUUCCUCUUCACUACAGCAUCAGCACGCUCCCCUCCCAAAUCCUCUUCUCCCACCUUAAACCCACUUGAAAAUCAACAAAACCAGACCAUCAGCUAUACAAACCAGCAUUUACGGUUCUGAGAUCCAUUGUUCAUCCUCCCUAAAACCAGCGCUCGCAUCGAAAUGCCAGGUGAUUCAAAUCCCAGCUAAUUUCGGUCUUAGUUGUUUGAAAAAGAGGGGUUUGAGUUGAGGAUGACGAUGGCGUAGUUGAGUUCCGACGAGAUUUUGAGGUUUCAUGGAGGUUCUCGGUUGGCCGCGACUAAGGAAAGUGUAAACCUAAGUUCAUUUUCGAAAAGACUUCUAAAGGUUCAUUAAUUACCUAUUACUUUUUUGCACUCAUCUUUCAAAUAUAGAAGUUUUUCUUAGCAAAGUUGUUUGAAUCUUCACGUCAUCUGUUGAGCUCUUAUGAGCUUUGUCAUGUUUCAGUUAUUUAUUUAUUGAGAUUAAUUAUUUAUUAGCAUUAAGCUUGUCUAGUUUCAUUGGUAGAAUGACAUAUGAUAUUUUUGUUUGUUUAAGCUGAAUAAUGAAAAGAGAUUUGGGUCUAUUGCUAGUGGGUUAUGGGAUCUGAUUUGGUCGAUUGGGUGUGGGUAUAUGCUACAAGAGAAUUGGGUCUAUUUCCUUGAUUUUGCUUAUUUGGCCUUUUCUAAAAUGACAAAUUUGUUUAAAACUCAAUAAUUUCCAACAUAAUACUUCAAGAGCCAUGAUUUCUGAUUUAACUCGGCCUUAAUUUAUAUUUGAUUAGUACAAGUUUAUACCUUACUUUCUUGGAUCAAUAAAGCUACUGUAUGGCAUGGAUAUAAAAGGACGUGAUAGGAGUAUGAAUGGCUAUUUGAUAAAUAUAUAUUUGUAAAAGUAAAGUAACUUGGUUGGAGGUUUAUUCUUUCCAUUUUUGUUUGAUUUACUGUCAUGCUGGACACAUGCUUUUCUAUUGUGAAAUUCAUGAAGUUUGUCUCUUUACUAUUUGUUUGGAUAUAGCCAUUGAGUUGGUUUUCUGGGAUAAUUGGUAAUUGGAGUACUCGAGUGCUUAAAACAUUUUUAUAAUGUUUAAGAAAAGUUUGUUAAAUUGGAUAAAUUGUUGUUUGGUUUAAUUGGCGUAGAAACAAGUUUAGUAGGCAGUGAACUUUAGAUAGUUAAUUGGAACUAAUAAUAUUAAUAACCCACGGCCCUCGGAUAACUAAUGAUAACUCUUUAGAAAUCGAGGUGUGCCAUUAAUUGAAUUUUCCAUAACCCUCGCAAACUUGAAAGAGCGUAGUUGCUUUAGGCGCGCUAUUUAAAAUUAAUUUCCUAAACUCGGGGGGUGCAUUUCAUGUGACCCGGUCUUAAUUUCCAACCAAGGUUAAAUAGAACGUGUCGUGAACCACGGGUGCAUUUCAUGUAACGUGGCUUGCGAUGUGUUUUAAAUAAUCUUGAAUCAAUUCUUUAAAUAAAUAAUAGCGGUUUUAAAGUUAAAAAUGCACAUAGGUUAAAAAGUGUUUUAAAAUCAGAUAAUAGGCCAAUAAUAACAGUUGAGCGACCGUGCUAAAAUUACGGAACCCGGGAAUGCCUAACACCUUCUCCCGGGUUAAUAGAAUUCCUUACCCGGAUUUCUGUGUUCGCGGACCAUAAUUAGAGUCAAUCUUUCCUCGAUUCGGGAUUUUAAACCAGUGACUUGUGACACCAUAAAUCAUCCCAAGUGGCGACUCUAAUUUUUAAAUAAAUAAUCCUGUUUCGAUUGUCACUUAAAUUGAAAAAACUCCCUUAUACCCUCUCGGGUGUAGGAAAAAGGAGGUGUGACAGCUCUAGCGACUCUGCUGGGGAACAGAACCCAGAAUCUCUGGUUCAGGGUUCAGAAUUCGAGCUUAGAUGAAUUGUUAUAGUUGGCUUAAUUUAUUAUCUGAUUUUGUUACAUGUUUGGGCCUAAUGUGCUAAAUGUUGCUUUACCGCUUUGAUAAUCUGUGAACUGUAUAUAAACUGCUACGAAACCCUUCCUCUCUCUGAGUCUUCUAAAUCAUGGAGAAGGGUGCACUUCGUGUGACUUCUCUUCUGUUAGAUUCAUAUCCCAAAUUUUAGAAUGAGGUUCGGACAAGUUGCAAAGCCGGUGAAGCUUCUGUAUUCCCGGUACGCUGCCCCCCCUCGGCUCGAGCUAUCCACUCGGGUAAGCCAGGUCUAGAAUAAUAAACCCAGGUUUUAAACCUAGUAUAAUAAGACCUCAUGACGGAUCCCUAGUGGGAACGUUUGCUUGCAUCACGUGCAUUUGACUUUGGAGACUCAACACAAGGAUUGGGUCUGUCUAGGACAGAUGUACCAGAAAUGAAAAGACCAUCCUGAUGCAUCUUGCUUGCUACUUGUGCAUUUAUUUGCUUCGGAUUUGCAUGUUGGGAAAUAGCAGUGUGAGGGAAAUAGCAGAAAGUUGGGAAAUAGCAGUGUGAGGGUUAAGUGAGAUAAUUCCUGUUUUGAAAAACCAAUGUUCAAAAGGUACUGAAACUCUGCCGAAUUUUUGAAAAAAAAAUGAAAAAAGGAAAAGAAAGAAAAAGGAGAAAAUCUUGUUUUCAAAAAUAGUUUUAUCUACCCGAACUACGCCAGUUUGAUUCUCACCGGAUGUGGGAUACGUAGGCAACCCAUCGGGUCCAACUUCCCUUUUGCAAAAAUAGCCCAAAAAGAAAAAUAUUUUAUUUUAUUUUUAAGCAGGGUGAUGCCAUUUUUGUCUAAAAUAGCCGAAUGUCCCCAAAAAGACGCCAGAAGGUUGUUUUAGCAAGAAUAGCCACCUUUGGUCUCCUUUUUGAAUUUUUGGCCGAUUAGCAAGCAUAGACUUAAAAUCUUCUCCCCGGAAGUGCUAAAAGGCCGUAAUUGCAAAGCUGGGUUUAUUUUUGAAAUGACAAUUUGAAAAAAUAUUAACUUUUCUUGAGUCAAAUGAGUCAUGAUUUUGCUUAAUCACCCUAAUAAAUGUGCAGAAUGAGCACGAGUCAAAAUUUGCCAAUAACAGUCAUGAACAAGAUCCCUUUGGAGCUGUGUAUGUGGUGGGAAGAUCUGGGUAAAUCUGGGCAAGAUAAGGUCAAUCUAUACUUAGG
rnacentral:lncRNA from 1 species